rnacentral:rRNA from 1 species
UACAGAGGUCUCAAGCGUUGUUCGGAUUCAUUGGGCGUAAAGGGUGCGUAGGUGGCGCGCUAAGUCAGGUGUGAAAUCUCGGGGCUUAACUCCGAAACUGCAUUUGAUACUGGCGUGCUUGAGGACUGGAGAGGAGACUGGAAUUCAUGGUGUAGCAGUGAAAUGCGUAGAGAUCAUGAGGAAGACCAGUGGCGAAGGCGGGUCUCUGGACAGUUCCUGACACUGAGAGCACGAAGGCCAGGGGAGCAAACGGG